UUCCAACAGGCUGAAGAUGCUGCAAUGCAGGAAUGAAAUCAAGCAAACACUACUAACAAAUUGUAAACAAUAUAGACAUGGUAAAUUUGUGUGGUUUUUAUCAUUUAAUUAAUCUUGAAAAACGUUUUUUUCCAUUUUCUUUCACAUUGUUGAAAAGUUUUUAAUUCGAUCCUUAUCUGGAAAAACGCUGCCAAGGUGAUCAAAUUGACAAGUACUUUGAAUUGCUAAUCAGAGUUGUUGCCAUUGUGAAUUUGUAACAAUAACUUGCACUUUGGGUACAAAACCCAUAAAAAAAACACCAUACCCAAUACCAAAAAAGAUGGAGGAUCCUUGUAUAUACGGCCACUCUGAAAAAUAUCCCAUUGAAGCAUUCCAUCGAACAGUAUGCUGGCAAAAUCCAAACUAACCCAGACAUAACAUACUCUAACCAGGUAAAAUCUGACUGAACAACAGGUACAUGAUCGCAUUUUCAGUUUCCUCGCUUAAAAAAAUAAUCUUGACAAUAAAUGGGUACAAAUAUUAACCAUCGGAAAUGAAUCAAUUACUCCUUGUAGUUGAAUAUUUCCCUAUAAUUGAAAAAACACUCCAUGAUGACACAAAGUUUGUUCAAACUUACAAGACACCCAUUUCUUUACAUCAAAACUGAGUUUCUCUAGUCUUGGUCUUUAGACCUCCUGAAAAAGACAGAUAUACUUUAGGUCAAAUAAAAUUGAAGUAUACCAUUAAUGCUGCACUGAUGAAAUCAUGAAAGCAUUUUUGAAUGUUUCCCAGAAGAAAAGGGAAAGAAAACAGGCAAUUUUCACAGGAAUGCUACCACAGUGCGCAGCUAUGUCUUCAGACUAAUAAAAGGCUCAGUAUGGAGAUUUACAGCAGUUCCACAGUUCAAUCUAAACUCUUCCCCUACUUCACUGCCUUCUUCCAUUCUAGAAUUUACAAUAAGAAAACGAAAGAUUUCGUUGAAUUAUUUUACAGCAACCAUGCGCGGGGGCGGCC
rnacentral:lncRNA from 1 species